rnacentral:lncRNA from 1 species
AGAGACAGCCAUAUCAGCAUCUCAUAUGAUUUUAAUCCAGAUUUGUCUUUUUAAAUUGGAUUUUAAGGUCUGUUGGAUUUGGGGUAUGUUGGAGGAUUUGCCUUUUCAAAAUCCAUAUUUGUUCUCAUGUUUUCGUUUUCUUUAUUUUAUUGUUUGGUUUCCUUUUCAAUUCCCCUUUCAAGAUCUCAUGUGUUAGUAGAUGGGUGUGGGGGAGAGAAAGUAGGCAUUAGAUCCAAAACCCUCCAGAUAAACCCCGACUUGAUGGAAAAGAAUAAGGAAAAGGAAAUUGGCAUGGAAGAAAUCUGGGUGGAUUGAGAGAGAGAAGAUAUUUUUUUUAAAAAAAAAAAUUUGUGUGAGAAGAUAUUUUUGCCCAUGCCAAGUAGGACUUGUCCAUGCCACGUCAUCAUUUUUAACGGAAAAAGUGACUGAGAUGACGAAGAAGACGAUUCCUGAAAGAGAAGGCAUAAUUAAAGUACUACCAUAACAAUUUAGCAAUAUGAGUGACGAAAAGUAAAGUUUAUUUUUAAUCUAGGGACCAUUGCUACAAUUUAACCUGAAAUUAAAAACUUCAUAAAAGUCUAGCACUUAAUUUAAUUCUCCAAAAGUUAUCAUUUUUGCUUUGAAAAGUUUAUGAAGGCCUGCAUAGUUCCGCACAAGAGUACCACUUAAGUAAGCUCCACAAGAACUUAUAUAUCUAAAUCCACUAUAUUUCUUGCCAGUUUGGAAUAAUUUUGAAAGGACUAAAAGUGUUUUCUUACAACUAAUAGCGCUUCUAACAAAGUUUGUUAGAAAAUUUUAGAACUGUUUUUGAGUCAUAGAAGCGCUUUCUAGCACUCCUACAUAAAUUUCUCAUGAAAAUGUCAACAUCUAUAUAAUAAAAGCGUUUUUUAUAAAAGUUCUUCCUAAAAAUAUAGUCCAAAACGAGAUAGUUUAGAGCGGUGGAUGAUAAUGGUCAAGAAAUAUACACAUUUUUAACGUAGAAGCACCAACAUGAAAAGGAAAAAAAAAAAAAAAGACCACACAUGUUAGGAGGUACAAGACAAGGAUGAUGUGAAGGCAUCAUGCGGAGACAAGGAGCAAUUGCAACAUCUUUCAAGUAUUAAAUUGUUGCCAUACUUUUCUUAGCAAUGGUUUUUUUUGCUUACCAAAAAGAUGCAAAC